AGCUAAACUCAGUAAUUCUUCUCUCGCCCCCUUCGGAGGGUUCAUUUCCGCGGUUAGCCCUCCCACCCCUUCGGGCACACUACCUAUAACUGUGGGUUUGGCGGGUAGGGUUUCCGCGACACUCCCGGCCUCCCGCCCCCGGGCGGGUCGGCGCCCGCCGGAGGAUAACCAAACUCUGAUGUAACGACGUUUCUUCUGAGUGGUACAAGCAAAUAAUCAAAACUUUUAACAACGGAUCUCUUGGUUCUGGCAUCGAUGAAGAACGCAGCGAAAUGCGAUAAGUAAUGUGAAUUGCAGAAUUCAGUGAAUCAUCGAAUCUUUGAACGCACAUUGCGCCCGCCAGCAUUCUGGCGGGCAUGCCUGUUCGAGCGUCAUUUCAACCCUCAAGCUCUGCUUGGUGUUGGGGCCCUACAGCUGAUGUAGGCCCUCAAAGGUAGUGGCGGACCCUCCCGGAGCCUCCUUUGCGUAGUAACUUUACGUCUCGCACUGGGAUCCGGAGGGACUCUUGCCGUAAAACCCCCAAUUCUCCAAAGGUGACGCUCGGAUCAGGUAGGAAUACCCGCGAACUA
rnacentral:rRNA from 1 species